rnacentral:rRNA from 1 species
UACGUAGGUGGCGAGCGUUGUCCGGAUUUAUUGGGCGUAAAGCGCGCGCAGGUGGUGCGGUAAGUCCUGUGUGAAAUCUCCCGGCUCAACUGGGAGGGUGCGCCGGAUACUGAGGGGCUAGAGUGUGGGAGAGGAAAGUGGAAUUCCUGGUGUAGCGGUGAAAUGCGUAGAUAUCAGGAGGAACACCGGUGGUGUAAACGGCUUUCUGGACCAUAACUGACGCUGAGGCACGAAAGCGUGGGUAGCAAACAGG